rnacentral:rRNA from 1 species
GACGAACGCUGGCGGCGCGCCUAACACAUGCAAGUCGAACGGGGAUGCCCGGAUGAACCCUUCGGGGGGAUUCUGGAACAUCCCAGUGGCGGACGGGUGAGUAACACGUGAGCAACCUGCCUUACUCAGGGGGAUAACGUCUGGAAACGGACGCUAAUACCGCAUAAAAUAGUAAGACCGCAUGGUCUGACUAUCAAAGAUUUAUCGGAGUAAGAUGGGCUCGCGCCUGAUUAGCUGGUUGGUGAGGUAAUGGCUCACCAAGGCGACGAUCAGUAGCCGGACUGAGAGGUUGAUCGGCCACAUUGGGACUGAGACACGGCCCAGACUCCUACGGGAGGCAGCAGUGAGGGAUAUUGCACAAUGGGGGAAACCCUGAUGCAGCGACGCCGCGUGAGGGAAGAAGGUUUUCGGAUUGUAAACCUCUGUCCCCGGUGAAGAAAUUGACGGUAACCGGGGAGGAAGCCACGGCUAACUACGUGCCAGCCGCCGCCGUAAA